CGCUCUCCGGCGCGCCGAUGCUGACACCUCUCCUCCUAGCCACCGUAGUAUAGGUGUGCUGUGGUUCAAGUCUGUGGUAGGCAUGGAAGAGGGAAAAUAAUGGUGGCAGGCAUCUUUCUAGAAAAGGCGUUGAUCAGGCAAACCGUGAGAUCGCGCAAGAUGGCAGGGUGUCGGAAAGCUCUCUGCUCUUUGUGGUCCCAAUCUAGGCAUACCAAUGUAGCUUCCGUCGGGCAGCGUUUCUUGGCAUCGGCGGCUCAAGGCCCGCCGAAGAACAUUCCGGACGAAACGAAGAAGCCGCCACCAGCCGCUUCGAAAUCUGCUACUCCACCCGUGCCGCCGAAUGUCAGCGGAGCGACUCAAGGUUACAAGGUUAAAGAAUACUUCGAGCACAGCCCGUACUCCUUCUACGACAUCCACGCCGACAUGUUCAAGCUGCGGCUGCCACAACCGUCGAGUAGGAAAUAAAAAGUUUAUCCCCGGGCAAGGGCACUCCAUAAAUGCCUGCACCCAACAAUUUAGAAACAUCAAGCUGCUUUAUUGUUCAAAUUAAAGAUGGUUACUUAUUGCACAUGGUAUCAUAUAAAAGCACUUUGAGAGGUU